UAUUGAAACUAUCGGUGAGGGUUGUUGCUGGCCUCUCGGGGCAUGUGCACGCCCGAACCUUUAAAUCCACACACACCUGUGAACCUAAUGUAAGGGCCCGUAACAAGGCCCCUACGUCUUAUCACAAACCCUUUGCAUGUUUCCAUAGAAUGUCAUUUAUAUCUUCGCCUUAAAAAGCGUUGGUAAACUUAUACAACUUUCAACAACGGAUCUCUUGGCUCUCGCAUCGAUGAAGAACGCAGCGAAAUGCGAUAAGUAAUGUGAAUUGCAGAUUUUCAGUGAAUCAUCGAAUCUUUGAACGCACCUUGCGCCCCUUGGUAUUCCGAGGGGCAUGCCUGUUUGAGUGUCAUUAAAUUCUCAACCCCGAAUCUUUUUCGGGGCUUGGACUUUGGAGUGUGCUGGCGUCCAGUCGGCUCCUCUCAAAUGCAUUGGCGGAAUUGAACCUUUGGUGUCUGUACGUCAGUGUGAUAAUCAACGUUGCGCUGUCAUCGGUCAUCGAAGUCCGCUUACAAUGGUCUUCGGACAAACCCUUCAUCAAAUUUGACCUCAAAUCAGGUAGGACUACCCGCUGAACUUAA
rnacentral:rRNA from 1 species